ensembl:lncRNA
AGGGCCACACCUGCAGCAUACGGAGGUUCCCAGACUAGGGGUCUAAUCCAAGCUGUUGCUGCCAGCCUAUGCCAGAGCCACAGCAAUGCAGGAUCUGAGCCGCGUCUGCGACCUACACCACAGCUCACAGCAACGCCGGAUCCUUAACCCGCUGAGCCACCAGGGAACUCCUUUCUUUUUAAAUAAUUUUCAUACAUUUCUUGAUAGCUCAGGGGGUUAAGGAUCUGGUAUUGUCACUGUUGAGGGGGAAAAAAAAGGAAAAAAAGAAAUAUGCUUUGCAUCGCACACUCACUUAUACUCAGACACUCCUGCCUACAUGUCCUAAGUGCAAGAGGAGUUUCAGGAAGUAACAGGUGGCUCAUUUAAGCGCAAUUUACUCUGCCAUUUCCCACCUCCAGUUAAUUUUCAAUGAAGUUAAUCACCACCAACUAUACUGAUUUCAUGAAUAGGGUCUCAAGCAGCAGACUGAAGGAAUAUUGUUAAAAGCUAAGGUUUGGCAGAUAUGAAUCUAUGUGGCCACACACAAACAUAUACACACAUUAUUUAAGCCCUAACUUCUGGAUUUCUUUUUAGGGUAGUAAUAUAAAAUAUUCUUUAGAUGAAUCAAGUUAGAAAACUGUAAAGUGAAUCCUAGGACAGGAGGUGCAGCUGGCAGAACUGGGGGAAGCGUUCCCUGGGGAUCUCAGAGGAACCCAAGGGUGACUCACAGCAGAGAGAUGCUCUCUGUGGUCAGGAGUGUCCUAUGUUCACUGAGGCUCUGGAGCUCAAGGGGAGAAGCCAAGUUAUGGCCCAGUCCUGCGGAUGAGGGUGAGGGUGAGAUCGGGGCAGCCACUUGCUCAGGGAGACAGUUUUGCUUCUUGACAUGCAAACACACCCGUGGCUGGGACUGCUAGGCAGAGGUAAAACCCAGACAGUCCUCAUAUGCAUCAUUCGGGAGAAGAACACAGACAGACCUUUGCUUUUGCUUCAGCAUCCACACUUGACCUUCUUAAGAUACAAGUCACAAGUUCAAAGAUGUAUUUAUAUAAAAUAGUAUCUGGGGUGGGGGAGGGAAUGGAACAUUAGAUGAGGCCAGUUGGAAAAGUUUGCUCCUGAAAAAACUCGAUCUUUUGAAAAAUAAGGAGAGCUCAGAGGUCUGGCCCUUGGUGUCCCCCAAGGCCACCCCCAACCCUCCGAGGCAUGGACGUCCUGCUGCCAUACCCCUCUCUCAGCUCCUGUGUUGGAAUCUAUGACCUCCUGUGAUACUGUGUGUCUGGUGCAUGACCACCUGGAUCUCAUGGACCAGAAGGACACAUCCCCACUCCUCAUGCCGGUGACACUGCCUCUGAGGGUCUCUGUGUUCAGCCCAGGAGCCCACCUCUCAGUCCCACAUUCCGGAUGCCCAUUCACAGGGGACCUGUGCUCGCCCUGAAUGCUCUGGUCUCCUCCCUCAUGGAUAAUAGUCGGAUUUGUUACCUCUGAACCACGACAGGAACUCCGUAAAUCAACUGUAUUUUAAUAAAAGAAAGUCCUCAGUAAAACAAUAACAACAAAAACCCAAAACAAAACCCCGAACCCUUUAGGUAAGAGAGAGAAUAUACACAGGGACAUGGCAUAAUGGUAGAACUCUGACUUGCUGCCUCUGCAAUAACCAGCCAGGGUUACUCUUUUGUGAUCCAUCCAAAACAGUUGGGUCUGGGUACUUGACUGUAGCCUCUCUAGUUAUUGUUCCUGCUUCCAACUCAAGAACAAUCAAAAAACAACAUGCUUCUCAUCAGCCACCCCCAGCUUUCUCCUGCCAACAGCAUGCAAUAGGUAUACCUGGGCCUUCCCUGCUCCGCCAUAAAGCUCCCCCCACCCACCUGUCUUUGAGUCUCUGCCAAAUGCAGUGGUGGCAGCUGAACCCCUGGCUCUAGCGAGCCUGUUUUCUCAUUGGUGGCCUCCAUUUAUUUCCAUAGGUAGCUGCAUGAAUGAAGAGAAGAGGCAGCUCUUCCUUACAGCAGAAUUUCAAUUAAUCAAUGUAUAAGGAAUGAUGGACAGAGAAAACCACCAAUGAGCAAAUGCCAAUAUUCAUGAUUGCCAUCAAGAACCACAGGUGGGCGGAUGCUAAAAUGAGGGAGUGAAAAUAUGAUGAGAAGUGGGGUAUGUCUGUGAUCUCUAAGCAACUCUCCACAAGACACUUAAUAAUUUCUCUUAGCAGAGAAACCUGACAGAUCUUACACUGACCAAGUGAUCAAGGUCAGCACCACUAGUGAUAAGGACACAGCAACAGCUCGUACCCCUGACACAAUGCAGCAGGAAGAACACAACAUCACAUCUGUGGGAUUUGUGCCAAAGAUGCGCAGCCCCAAUCCGAUCAUGAGGAAACAAUAGACAAACCGCAUGGAGGCACGUUCUACAAACAACUGAACCGUUCUCAGCAGUGAAGGUUGUGGACAAGGAAAGACUGAGGAACCAUCACAGAUCACAGAUUGGCGGUGACUUAGGAGACACAAGGACCAAAUGCAACAUAGGAGCCUGGACCAGAAUGAGAACAUUAGGGGAAAAGUUGGUGAAAUCAGAAUUCAGUCUGGAGAUGGGUUCCUAGUGUUGCAUCAAUGUAAAGUUUCUGGUUCAGGUAACAGUAUCCUGUAAGAUGCUAACAAUGGAGGCAGCUGAGUGAAGGGUAUCACGGAUGCUCAGUUAUUUUUGUCAUUUUUCUGUAAGUCUAAAAUUAUUUCAAGAUACAAAGCUAAAAAAAAAAAUAGCUUUGAGAAAACCAGGUGCCUCUGGGAUGUGCCAGUGGUUUCAGAGAAACACAUUUCGGGUAUUUGCGGCUAUGGAGGGGCUGACCUGGUAACUUGACUCCUCCCUGUCUAGUUGGCACCCCGGGGCCUCCAUGUUCUGGGCUGGGGAAGGGUACUGGCAGUCAUGGGAAGCCGUGUGGGGGAUUAGUGCUGCCUGGAUUGAGGGGAAACGGGUACCCUUCUUGGCAGGUGCACCCUGACCCUGGCCUCUCCUCAGGCCAAGGCCUUCACACUCUGCCUCUGGCUGUGCAUGUGGGGGUGAGAAUCGGGUGAAGGCAGAUGCUCAACACAAGGACACAAUACAGUACAAAGCAGCUAUUGUUUAUUAAGUCCCUUUGUCCCUGUAUUCUCUAAUCUGGCCAGCCCUAACCAAUGUGCAUGUGUGUUGCCUUACAGAUGGGGAAGCUGAGGCAUUGUGAGUCCUAGCCAGAAACUGCUAUAGUGACAAUCACCACAGCUAACAACUGGGGGCGGGGGGUUGGGGGCGGGGGAGAGAGUGUCCAUAGUCACUGGUUUCUUUCCCCACUUUGCCCAUGAGAUGUGGGAAGCUUGGCCAGACAAACGGCAGAAGGAACUCCAGGAGUUCCCUCGUCGCUUAGCGGGUUAAGGAUCUGGCAUUUUCACUGCAGCAGCUUGGGUUGCUGCUGUGGCGCAGGUUUAGUCCCUGGCCUGGGAAUUUCCAUGUGCCAUGGGCACAGCCAAAAAAACAAAAACAACAAGAGAAAACCCAAAACAAAAAGAAGGAACUCCAGCCUUGACACAGGGCUCCAAAGCCAUUGCCAAGUCUUCCUCCAGAGAGCCCGACCCUCAGACAAGCUCAACACCAUUUUAUCUUGAGUGAUUCUUCUAGAGAAGUGCCCUGUAAUAAAGAUUUCGCUUCACCUUAAAGAACAACAAACAGCACAAGGGAGAGAGGAGCGAGGGUCUGGCUACACUCAGAUGGCUCCUGAACACAACUCUCAAAGCUGUGCAGAACACGAAGCUAAAGGGCUUUGGUUGCUGCUGUGGCACAGGUUUGAUCCCUGGUCUGGGAACUUCCAGAUACAGUGGGUAUGGCCAAAAAAAUUUUUUUAAUUAAAAAGAAAGUCUAAAAUCUAGGACCUAACCUCGGAUAAUGAGGUGCAAGGGGAGACCAGAUGCUAGGGACAAGGAGGAGAAAACCACCCCACAGAGGCGGGCUGGGCGGAUGAUGCUGUAUUUGAAAAUGCUGAUGGGACAUCCAACUGGGAAGAGCUGGAGUAGGUUCCAGCCUCAGCCACCCCAUCUUCUGAAUGUAGGGCCUCAUGUAGACCACCCACUGCAGUGGAGAUGAAUUACCAACAGUGGGCAAUGACACAUGGUGGUACUUGAUAAAAUAGAUAAGGAAGCAGGAGCCUCUUUUCUUUGGUUUGGUUUUGUUUUUUGCUUUUUAGGGCUGCACCCGAGGCAUAUGGAGGUUCCCAGGCUAGGAGAUGAUUCGGAGCUACAACUGCAGGCCUACACCAUAGCCACAGCAAGGUGGGAUCUGAGCUGCAUCUGCAACCUACACCACAGCUCAUGGCAACGCUGGAUCCUUAACCCACUGAGCGAAGCCAGGGAUUGAACCCAUAACCUCAUGGUUACUAGUGGGAUUUGUUUCUGCUGCACCACAAUGGGAAUUCCCAGCAAGAGCCUCUUGAGACCCCCCAGUGUCACAGCCCACAGAUCCGAGAGGGGUGACUGCAAAAGCAGCCUGCUCUGACCUGGUUGAUGAGACCUUUACUGCCCUUGUUCCCGCUGUCAACACAACUCCUGGCUUUUUUCAGUUUCACCGGUUAUUCACUGAAUCUUCCUUUUUUGCCCCAGGAUCUCAUCCAUCCAUGAGCCUGAGGCCUUCCCCGUACUGCAGAACACCCCCACCCCUCCAUCUGGGUUGUCUGAUGUGUUUUCUCGCCAUUAGCCUGGUUUGUGGGGUUCUGGGAAGAACACGGAGGUGGGGAGCCCUCGCCAUCACAUUAUCUAGGGACCCUGAGAGCACAGACUUAAUCCAAGGGAGAUGAGCCUGGGCUUCUUGGUUAAAGUGGGGUCUGCCAGGUGUCCCCCUGUCAAGUAACCCUUUUCCCUUUCCACAUUCUUCUCUUUGGAACCAAGUCUUUGGGCAAGAGGUGGUGGGGGGCAGGGGGCAGUAAGCUAGAGGUGGAGAGGGAGAAUGGACAUACACAGCUCAGAAUUCUUCCACAGAACAGAGGUCUCUUCUCUGGUCCCCACCUCCCUGUCUUACUCACUUAUUCAGUCAUUUAUCCAGAUCUGUUUACACUCUGGGUUCAACAAGAUCCUCUG